CGACCGCUGGCGGCGUGCUUAACACAUGCACGUCGAACGGAAAGGCCCUGCUUUUGUGGGGUGCUCGAGUGGCGAACGGGUGAGUAACACGUGAGUAACCUGCCCUUGACUUUGGGAUAACUUCAGGAAACUGGGGCUAAUACCGGAUAGGAGCUCCUGCUGCAUGGUGGGGGUUGGAAAGUUUCGGCGGGUGGGGAUGGACUCGCGGCUUAUCAGCUUGUUGGUGGGGUAGUGGCUUACCAAGGCUUUGACGGGUAGCCGGCCUGAGAGGGUGACCGGCCACAUUGGGACUGAGAUACGGCCCAGACUCCUACGGGAGGCAGCAGUGGGGAAUAUUGCACAAUGGGCGGAAGCCUGAUGCAGCAACGCCGCGUGCGGGAUGACGGCCUUCGGGUUGUAAACCGCUUUCGCCUGUGACGAAGCGUGAGUGACGGUAAUGGGUAAAGAAGCACCGGCUAACUACGUG
rnacentral:rRNA from 1 species